rnacentral:rRNA from 1 species
AUGUCUUUUGAGUACCUUCGUUUCCUCGGCGGGCUCGCCCGCCGAUUGGACAAAACUUAAACCCUUUGUAAUUGAAAUCAGCGUCUGAAAAAAACAUAAUAGGUUACAACUUUCAACAACGGGUCUCUUGGUUCUGGCAUCGAUGAAGAACGCAGCGAAAUGCGAUAAGUAGUGUGAAUUGCAGAAUUCAG